GAUGCGGCGCAAGCCGUUUAACCAAACACACUGUGAACCGUGGCUUCGGCCUCUUCAAACCAUGUAGUACAGAACGUAAUCAUGAUAAUCAUCAUAACUUUCAACAACGGAUCUCUUGGCUCU
rnacentral:misc_RNA from 1 species